rnacentral:rRNA from 1 species
AUUGAACGCUGGCGGCAUGCCUUACACAUGCAAGUCGAACGGUAACAGGUUAAGCUGACGAGUGGCGAACGGGUGAGUAAUAUAUCGGAACGUGCCCAGUCGUGGGGGAUAACGUAGCGAAAGCUACGCUAAUACCGCAUACGAUCUACGGAUGAAAGCGGGGGAUCGCAAGACCUCGCGCGAUUGGAGCGGCCGAUAUCAGAGUAGGUUGUUGGUGAGGUAAAAGCUCACCAAGCCUGCGAUCUGUAGCUGGUCUGAGAGGACGACCAGCCACACUGGAACUGAGACACGGUCCAGACUCCUACGGGAGGCAGCAGUGGGGAAUUUUGGACAAUGGACGCAAGUCUGAUCCAGCAAUGCCGCGUGCAGGACGAAGGCCUUCGGGUUGUACACUGCUUUUGUACGGAACGAAACGGUGAGCUCUAAUACAGUUUGCUAAUGACGGUACCGUAAGAAUAAGCACCGGCUAACUACGUGCCAGCAGCCGCCGUAA